rnacentral:lncRNA from 1 species
GGUGAAGGGAGAAAGAGCGAGCAGAAACUAGGCCAUCCAUUUUCAGUGGACAAUCUCUGAAUCCAGGGCCCAAGUCAUUUCAGAAACUGGGAAGGUCUAAGGCACUCAAAGAGUUUACCUGGAAGAGAUUCUAUUAUUAGCUAUACUUGAAGAACUUAAUUGGAUUAACUAUUUAUAAGAACUUUUUGUGAGAGCAAAGAACUGGAAACAAAGUAGAUGCCUAUUGAGAAAGGAUUAAACAAAUUGUGGUACAUGACUGUAAUGGAAUAUUACUAUGCUAUAAGAAAUUAUAAAUUGUGAAAGGAUGCAAAUACCUACAUGAAUUGAUGAAGAAUGAAGUAAGCAGAGCCAAGACGCACAUGACUAUAACUAACUGGAAAGAAGAGCUACACACAAAAAAAGCAUAUACUACCUAAGAACAAACAUGAUUCAAAAGAAGAAAUUUCAAAAGAAACUUUUGCAAAGUUCUUGAAGAGGACCAUGGGAGUCCAAUGGGAGCAGAACACUUAUAACAACUUUAUAUAUGGAGGUGAAUGUGAGGAAAUACUGCAAAGAGGUCCUUUAAAAAGUGGAAUAAAUGA